GACGAACGCUGGCGGCGUGCUUAACACAUGCAAGUCGAACGGAAAGGCCCUGCUUUUGUGGGGUGCUCGAGUGGCGAACGGGUGAGUAACACGUGAGCAACCUGCCCUUGACUUUGGGAUAACUUCAGGAAACUGGGGCUAAUACCGGAUAGGAGCUCCUGCUGCAUGGUGGGGGUUGGAAAGUUUCGGCGGUUGGGGAUGGACUCGCGGCUUAUCAGCUUGUUGGUGGGGUAGUGGCUUACCAAGGCUUUGACGGGUAGCCGGCCUGAGAGGGUGACCGGCCACAUUGGGACUGAGAUACGGCCCAGACUCCUACGGGAGGCAGCAGUGGGGAAUAUUGCACAAUGGGCGGAAGCCUGAUGCAGCAACGCCGCGUGCGGGAUGACGGCCUUCGGGUUGUAAACCGCUUUCGCCUGUGACGAAGCGUGAGUGACGGUAAUGGGUAAAGAAGCACCGGCUAACUACGUGC
rnacentral:rRNA from 1 species